AACGAACGCUGGCGGCAGGCUUAACACAUGCAAGUCGAACGUUCCGCAAGGGGAGUGGCAGACGGGUGAGUAACGCGUGGGAAUCUACCUAGUUCUACGGAACAACUGAGGGAAACUUCAGCUAAUACCGUAUACGCCCUAAGGGGGAAAGAUUUAUCGGAAUUAGAUGAGCCCGCGUUGGAUUAGCUAGUUGGUGGGGUAAUGGCCUACCAAGGCGACGAUCUAUAGCUGGUCUGAGAGGAUGAUCAGCCACACUGGGACUGAGACACGGCCCAGACUCCUACGGGAGGCAGCAGUGGGGAAUAUUGGACAAUGGGCGCAAGCUUGAUCCAGCCAUGCCGCGUGAGUGAUGAAGGCCUUAGGGUUGUAAAGCUCUUUCAGUGGGGACGAUAAUGACGGUACCCACAGAAGAAGCCCCGGCUAACUUCGUGCCAGCAGCCGCGGUAACAC
rnacentral:rRNA from 1 species